rnacentral:rRNA from 1 species
AAUCCGGCCUUUAUGGGCAGGUUACCUACGUGUUACUCACCCGUUCCGCCACUCGUUGGCGACCAAAAUCAAUGAGAAUGCAAGCACCAUCAAUCAAUUGGGCCAACGCGUUCGACUUGCAUGUAUUAGGCACACCGCCGGCGUUCAUCCUGAGCCAUGAUCAAACUC